UCGCCUGUAUGAAGUCGGAAUUGCUAGUAAUCGUGGAUCAGCAUGCCACGGUGAAUACGUUCCCGGGCCUUGUACACACCGCCCGUCACACCAUGAGAGCCGGGAACACCCGAAGUCCGUAGUCUAACCUAUAUGGAGGACGCGGCCGAAGGUGGGUUUGGUAAUUGGGGUGAAGUCGUAACAAGGUAUC
rnacentral:rRNA from 1 species